rnacentral:rRNA from 1 species
GAUGAACGCUGGCGGCGUGCCUAAUACAUGCAAGUCGAGCGAACAGAUGAGGAGCUUGCUCCUCUGACGUUAGCGGCGGACGGGUGAGUAACACGUGGAUAACCUACCUAUAAGACUGGGAUAACUUCGGGAAACCGGAGCUAAUACCGGAUAAUAUAUUGAACCGCAUGGUUCAAUAGUGAAAGACGGUUUUGCUGUCACUUAUAGAUGGAUCCGCGCCGCAUUAGCUAGUUGGUAAGGUAACGGCUUACCAAGGCAACGAUGCGUAGCCGACCUGAGAGGGCGAUCGGCCACACUGGAACUGAGACACGGUCCAGACUCCUACGGGAGGCAGCAGUAGGGAAUCUUCCGCAAUGGGCGAAAGCCUGACGGAGCAACGCCGCGUGAGUGAUGAAGGUCUUCGGAUCGUAAAACUCUGUUAUUAGGGAAGGACAAAUGUGUAAGUAACUAUGCACGUCUUGACGGUACCUAAUCAGAAAGCCACGGCUAACUACGUG